rnacentral:rRNA from 1 species
AAUUUUAUGUAAAUUAGUUUACUAAGGAAUUAACAGUUAAGAUCUUGAAAUUUAAAGAAUUUGGCGGUAGAUUAAUUUAUCUAGGGGAAUUUGUUAUUUAAUAGAUAUUACACUCCUUACCUUACCUUAAAUAUUAUAACUUAUAUAUCGCCGUUUAGAAUAUUUUUAUUGAAUUUAAUAUUCAUUAUAAUCCUUAAAAAUUAUUAAAUCAGGUCAAGAUGUAGUUUAUGUUAAGGAUUUAAAUGAAUUACAUUUCCAAGUAAGAAUUACGGAUAAAAGUUUGCAAAAUUAAACUUUGUAAAGGCGGACUUAGAAGUAAAAGUAAAUUAAUAUGUUAUUUUGAAUAUAUAACUCUAAUUUA